rnacentral:rRNA from 1 species
UAGUGGCGAACGGGUGAGUAACACGUGGGCAAUCUGCCCUUCACUCUGGGACAAGCCCUGGAAACGGGGUCUAAUACCGGAUAACACUCUGUCCCGCAUGGGACGGGGUUAAAAGCUCCGGCGGUGAAGGAUGAGCCCGCGGCCUAUCAGCUUGUUGGUGGGGUGAUGGCCUACCAAGGCGACGACGGGUAGCCGGCCUGAGAGGGCGACCGGCCACACUGGGACUGAGACACGGCCCAGACUCCUACGGGAGGCAGCAGUGGGGAAUAUUGCACAAUGGGCGAAAGCCUGAUGCAGCGACGCCGCGUGAGGGAUGACGGCCUUCGGGUUGUAAACCUCUUUCAGCAGGGAAGAAGCGAGAGUGACGGUACCUGCAGAAGAAGCGCCGGCUAACUACGUGCCAGCAGCCGCGGUAAUACGUAGGGCGCAAGCGUUGUCCGGAAUUAUUGGGCGUAAAGAGCUCGUAGGCGGCUUGUUGCCGUCGGUUGUGAAAGCCCGGGGCUUAACCCCGGGUCUGCAGUCGAUACGGGCAGGCUAAAGUGUGGUAGGGGNAGAUCGGAAUUCCU